AAAGUUGCUGUAGGUUAAUUGUGAAGCAGCUCCAAGAAUUAGAAUUGGCAUGCAGGCAGAGAAAGGAGACAAAGUGUAGAUGGGGAGAUGCUGGGGCUAGGGAGGGGGAAAGGAGGACGGGAGAAUAUAAAAGCCAGGGUGUUGCAAAGGGUUUGCUUAGCUGCCAGGAGCUCUGAAAGUGAGAAAACGCUACAUUACCAAGGUAGAAAAUCACUUAGAGCAAAGAGCAAAGAAAGCAUGCAACUCAAAACCGAAAGAAUCUUUGCUGAUGGAGGAAGACAUUGAAUAAGAGAGAUUUUAGAAAAUCUUAUAAGCAUAUGGUGUAACAUGCUUGUCUCCUGGGCUGUAAAUAUUGGGAAAGAUUCAUGGCAUUCACAUUGCCACAGAAGUACUGGUUUCCCCACAAAAAAACUGAGUGAGUUUGGAACUUCACAUGGGACUGUGAAUUAGUGAGCAAUGGCACGAAGUCUUGACCAGGUGAAGAAAUGGGUUACCUCUCUAGGUCCCUGAUCUUGAGAGACAUGGAAGAUGGAUCCUCCAAAUUUUUGGUGGAUACAGAGCCAGAGAUCAAGAUGCUAGAGAGAACAUGGAUUUAGGAAUCCUGAUGCAAUAUGAGUCUCUAUCAGAGAGUAAUUAAAAUCUCUGACGGGAUUCAUUCAAGUUUGAAAUAAUGGCUGUUUGAAGUAGAUGUUUGAGUGCUAUUGGAUAAUGUUAAUAGUGAAUAACUCAAAGUCCUCAGAAAAUAAAAAGUGGUUAGGAGAAUGA